UGGGACAUUUUCAUAAACUAAUUCAUACAGAUCAUGUACAGGUAAACUUUUGAUUAUGAUAAUCUCAAAAUUUACAAUGAUCACAGGUACAUGUAAUUACUCUAACGUUAUGUUAUUAUUAUUUCUUUGAUUUGAUUGUGUAAACCAUUCAUCUUUUUAAUGAUUUUCGUUACAUCAAAUAAACUGUCCGUGCCGUAAAUUGAAUUGACC
rnacentral:lncRNA from 1 species